CGAAAAUAGAGCGGCAGGUCGGUAGCUCCUGCACCCCUCAUGGGGUUCUUCCCAGCCACGG
rnacentral:ncRNA from 1 species